GUUGGUUAUGGUGACAUGGCUCCUGUCACUGUUGGUGGUAAGUUGGUGGGGUCACUUUGUGCUUUGGCUGGUGUCCUCACCAUCUCCCUCCCCGUCCCCGUCAUCGUCUCCAAC
rfam:Caprimulgus carolinensis contig30177, whole genome shotgun sequence.